rnacentral:lncRNA from 1 species
CUACAGCAUACAUGUGAUCACAAAGACACAAAUUUCACAACUUGUAAAGUAAACACAGUGAUGUCACUUGGCACAAUGCCUCGUGAAGGUCACUACUAGCUCUCAUUGCACAUGGAACUAUGUGCUGUCAUCUGUUGGUGCGUUACUGAACAGGUCCUGGAAUUUUUUGAUAUCACCUCAUAUGUCUAAUUAGGGCACACAGUGAAUAUGUGCUGAGAUAUGGAUGUUGAAAUCUUGAAGAUAACAAGGGUAAGAUGGAAGGCUUUUACUUCAAUAGAGGAUGUGCUUAAAACAAAGGCAGACAAUACCAUGCAUGCCAGACUUUUCAAUAGCAUCAUCCUACAUGUGUUCUUAUAUGCAAGUGAGAUAAAGCAGAUAAAACACUGAUUGGCUAUAAUGUAAAGGGUGAUGGAAAGAUCCAUGCAAGGAAUAUCAUUAUAAAAGCAUAUUCAAAAUGAGAUCAUUUGACAAAGGAAUGAACAAUGUGAUCACAGAGUCAUGAAAGCACAAUUUCUGCUGGGCCAGACAUGUAGCAAGACUCACUGCAACAUGUAGACUCAUGCAGUUGCCAAGUGGUAUACAAGAGACUGGAAGAGGCCACUUGGAGAGCAUUCACAACAGUAGGAAGAUGAUUUACUUAAGCAAGCUGGGUCAAAGUGGAAAAGAAUGGCACAAUCAAGACAGAAUUGGAAGUGCAUUGUGACCAGUGAUGUACAACAGUAUCUGAUGGUCUGGUUGAUACUGUGAUUUAUAUAUAUAUGAAUACUGUUGUAAUACUGGGUUUUAUCUUCUACCCAAAAUAAUAGACCCUUUUACAUUGCUUGUUCCUAUAUCUUAUACAUAAGUGGCAAUUUCUGUCUGUCUGUUACUAUCUUGAUACCAACAAGUCAAUCUUCACAAAACUUUGCAUACAUGUUAAACUAACAUCCAGUUCAAUUAUAGGCUAAUUGGAUUUCAAUAAAAAUUGAUAAUGGGCCUCCUACAAGGGUUGAGCUAUUAUAUGAUAAAAUGAGAAGGGUACAAAAUGUGUUAGGUUGAGGGAAAUGUGGUGGCAUAAUGAGGGUGGAUGAUAUCAGGGAACGGGAGGAGACGAGAAGAGACACACAGAGAGAAUGAGAGACAGGGACAGAGCAGGAUAGAGAGAAUGUGUUUACUGAAGGGAACAGUGAAUUUUAAUACUUUCUUCUUUAAUUUUUACCUAACGCUUUAGGUAUGCUCAGUCAAAACUUUUACAAUAUGUCCAACAGCAGAUGUUAAACUAACAAGUGAAAGCAACACAGAAGACCCUACAAAAGUAGAGAGAGACAGACAGUUACAAGCAACAAUAUGCAGAUUUUCUUACAAGAAGUUUUCUUUAAAAGUCACUCUGAAGACAUGUACUGUUUUUCAGUAUUUUUCUCCCAUAAACAUAUUUAAUGGAAUGAUGAUGAACACAAGGUUUGUCCAUUGUUUGGAUUUAAGCAAAUUCUUCAAGUGAGAUACCUUGACAAAAUUGAACACAGAGCAUGAAACUAAAUUUAUUCAACUAUAAUCUUAAAAAGACAAGAUGAUAACAACUACAAUAUCUUUGAUGUUUCCUCAAUCAGGAACUAAAUGUGAAAUUUGAGGAACUGACCAGCACAAGAUUCUAUAUGUGACUGUUUAAUCAUGCCAUGUACAAAAGA